GGGGCCAAUCUAUCAAAUGUAGUGCUCGGAUUAAUCUACAAGUUUGCUUAAAGGAGUUCUACGAGUUGAGAUAGAAUAUCUUGAGAAAUGGAGGGUUGAACAGAUCGCUUUGAAAGGAAGAGAUAAGAACAGUAAGAACAGACGACAGGCAGAGCCGUGCCGUCGCCGGCUCUCGCGCAUGCCGGCCAGCGCGACAACCACGUUUGCACCGCGCCGACUACCACGAGCCAAGUUGAAUGUCGCACGGUGAAAGUUUGUAUUGCUACCGCCUCAUCCUCAUCCAGUAACCCUCUACCAAUUUGUUCUUCUGCCGUAAGAACCGAGUUGAAGCAGUCAGUGCCGCCGCCGGCCAAUUCGCGCCACGCCGCCGCCCCUCGUUGCAAUUCCACCGCCCAAGGGUCUGCCCGACAUCUCCUCGACAUCCCACACCCACCUUAUCUCAGCUCCCCGCCGUCGAAGCUCCGAAUCGCCGCCAUACCAGUCCGCCGGCCGCCGUCACCAAUUCUUCGAGGUGAGCUCCUAAUCGGCUUUUCUUUCUCGAUUGACGGGCCUAGGGGUGUCCUGCAAGAGUGUGGUAGCCGUAGGGGGAGUCGUGGGAGCAGUUUGUGCCGCCUCCAUGCGCCGCCAUGGCCGGCCGAUGGCCAAGCCGCGGCCGCCCGUGGAGGGGCCGGCUCGGGCCGCCUCCCGGCGAGCUGCGGCUGGGCGCGGGUGCGCCGGGUCUGUGCGCCGCCACCCCGUCCCUCUCGGCCGCCGGCAAGCCGCCGGCCGGCGAGUCCCCGUCGGCCCCGCGUGCCCCCUGUUUUGGCGCAGGGAGGAAGCAGCCGUGCGUCAGGAAGAUGCAAGAAGAAGGGGGCAGCGCAAAGAAGAUGAGGGCCGGCCGCCCAUUUUGGGCCAAGGAAAAGCGCCAGCCCAACCGGCCAUCCGUCUUGGGCCAAAGGGAGGGUACCGGCCCAGCUAGCUGCGCAACGUAAUAAAGAGAAGGGAAGCAGGCCGUCGGUGAAAUUGGGCCGGGAGGCCAAGUCCCGGUGGAGGAAGCCCAGGUGGAGCGGGAGGGAAGGAGAAAGCCAGGCAGCCGAUUUGGGCCGAAGAAAGGCGCCGGCCCAGCUGGCCGUGCGGUACAAAAGAAGAAAGAAAGGGGGAGCCAGUGGGCUGCCCGACGGCUUGAAAGGAGAAUGGACCGUGCGGCCCAGGUAGAGUAGAAAGGAAGAAGGUGGGCCGGCGGAGGAAAGAAAGGCCAUGGGCCGGAUCAUCGGGCCGAUCACGGUUGAGAAAUAAGGAGAAAAGAAGAGGAAGCCGGCCCAAGCAAGGAGGCCAUGCGCCACAGGUUAAAAAGUUGACGGGCCAUGUUUCGGCCCAAGGAAAAGUGCCGGCUGUGGGCCCCACUUGUCAGGGAAAGAAAAGAAGAAGGAGAAUAGGAGACCAGAUGGGCCCUAGGUGGAAGUGAUAGUGGGUAAAAGCAAGUCGGGUGAGAAAAGUUUGGGCCGGGGGUUUUUAUUAAACCUUAGGUUUUCUUCUAUUAGAUAAAUAGAUUAAAUGCUGUUUUCACCAUUUAAUUCACAAGAAAUUCUAGAAGUGUCCAAAAUUAGUGAAACCAAUUUUAUUAGGAUUGUUUUAUUUUCCUUUAUGCAUUAAAAUUCUUAAACCCUAGGAAAAAUAAUAAAAAUUUAGGUAUUUAUUUAAUGCCUUUUUAUCUAAGGUAUUUAAAUAAAUGCUUAAACUUUAUUAAAUGUAUAAAAAUUUGAAAAAUGCUUUAUUAUCCACAAAUCAUUAUUAAUUCAUAGGAAUUAGGUUUUUAAGAUUAGAAAAUUAUUAUAAUGCUUUUAAAAAUAAAUAAAAAGGUCUAAGGUAGGUUUAGUAAAGGAAAUAAAAAUGGUGGGCUAAUCUUUUCGGGUUUUUGUGUGUUGGCUUGCAACUUUAUCAUGAUAAAUUAUCUAGUCCUUGUUGGCUUGCAACUUUAUCAUGAAGGAAAGUUGUAUAGUCUUGUAUUCAAAAGUUUGCAUCUCUAACUCUUGCAUAUACUGAAGCGUAGACAGCACAACUCCUGGAGUGGGAAUUCAUGAAUUUCAGCUGGAGAUGGACAGCGUUCGCGAAGUGUGGAGUGCCUCUUUCAAUAAACAAGUUUUCCGAAGAACUAACCUUGUUGAUCCCAGGCAAGCCCCGGUGCAUUUAUACCUAUCUAUUUUGGAGUCGUUAUUUCAUGUGACUUAUUAUCGGUUAUUUGAUUUAUGUAUGCACUAAGUCUAGGAGUUGCUUGAAACCUAUUCUUGUGUACAAUCAUACCUUGUUUUAAGGACAUCUUUGCCACUUGUUCAAACCUUAGAAGAAAACCCAAGUCUAGAAAUGCUUACUUGCUUACAUGCUUGGUUUACCAACCUUAAGGAAAACUCUUAAGUCAUACAUGUUGCUUAUGAAGGACAGUUUGGAAUAUGAAAAGGGACAGAAGCUAGAGAUGUAGUUCUGUCUGUUAGAUUAAUCUGGUUAAGGACCGAUUCGUGUCUUAACCAUUGAUCAAGUGAUAACAUCUGGUCACUUACUGGGUAUGGGACCAGUAAAGCCCAGUAGAUUAGUAAAUUCUAUGAUCAGGAAUGCUUCGUACCCGCAUUUGACGUGCUGGAGAUUGGCAGGGGUGUAGCCUGAAACUCACAUGGAGAUUAGGCCAGACGUGGGGUCCCAUGUGGGGGUGCAUCCCUGGGUCCGGGUAGUUGUAUUCCUAAUCAUUGAUUUUGCUAAUCGAGAGGUUGUGAGAUACGACCGGAACAGUCGUAUAUUGCUGGUGAUCAGGGUACUCUCCUGCAGGAUGUAAUAUGGUCCGGAUCGCCGCAAUUCUCGGUUAUGAAUGCACUUGAUCGCUGUUAAGCUUCGUAGUAUGAACUCAUGCGAUAUAAAAUCUCCUGUUGCCAAGUGCUGUAUGAUUUAACAGCUGUGGUUGUUUUUACUUCUGCUAUCAUUUAGAAUGGUUAGGUAAUAACUUAACCCAAAUAAAAGAUAAAACAAAGGUAUCACUUGUAGUAAGCUUUUCGGCAAAAACUGCAUUAGCCAAGUACACCAAAAAGCUAAGCAUACCCUUCCAAAGAAAGCUAUUAUAUUGGUUAGUCGGGUAAGACUUGCUGAGUACUUCGUACUCAGGGGAUCCCUUGUUGUUGUUUUCAGAAAGCCAGCAGGGACUCACCAAAGAGGAAGCCCCGAAGACCUAGGGUAUCUUAUGAGUCUCAUGAUACUCUAGAUUGAAACUCAAAUAUUUGUUUUUCUUCCAGACUGGUUUUAAAUUCUUAGAACCACACUGACCUGCAUGGUUAAGUUGUUUCAAACUAUGGUUGUAAUAUAUCGUACCUUGGUUAUGUCUUUAAAAAUGUAAUAUUUGUUGAUAUUAUCCCAUCGCGGAUAUU
rnacentral:lncRNA from 1 species